GAUGAAGAACGUAGCGAAAUGCGAUAAGUAAUGUGAAUUGCAGAAUUCAGUGAAUCAUCGAAUCUUUGAACGCACCUUGCGCCCUUUGGCCAUUCCGAAGGGCAUGCCUGUUUGAGUAUCAUGAACACCUCAACUCUUCAUGGUUUUCCGUGAUGAGCUUGGACUUUGGGGGUCUUGCUGGCCUAUGGUCAGCUCCUCUAAAAUAAAUCAGCUUGCCAGUGUUUGGUGGGUAUCACAGGUGUGAUAACUAUCUACGCUUGUGGUUUUCCACCAGGUAACCUUCAGCAGUGGAGGUUCGCUGGAGCUCACAGAGGUGUCUCUCCUCAGUGAGGACAGCUCUUUGAAUGUUUGAUCUCAAAUCAGGUAGGACUACCCGCUGAACUUAAGCAUAUCAAUAAGCGAGUA
rnacentral:misc_RNA from 1 species